CGUCUCAAUUGGGGAGUGAGGGGAAUGAAUCAAUCUGGAUAGGUAUUGAGUCCUCUCACGAUCUCAUCCGAAAACAGUGCUAGUUAAUUCCUAUUUUUUUUAUGUUGCAAGUAUUGUUUUAACAUCCGUGUGUUACUGUGUCCAUACACUUGGUUCGAUUUUGUUAUGUCCUGUGUGUAGUUUAUCACCAAAUCAGAGACAAAUAUCUGUGAAUUUUGUAUCAACACGACACAAAUAUGAUGCUUCCAAAUAUCCAUGCUUCUUAUGCAUCAUUCGCAUGCUUCUUUGUUGCAUAGAGUUUGCGCCAACUAGACAUGCUUCUAUUUUUCUAUACUAUUUGUGUUAUCUUGAGAUAGCAUGAAAUUGACGCUUCUUCCAAAUACCACCAGCGCAUGUUAGGCUGCCAUUACAGGUUGGAGAAUCCACUUACCAUAGCGAGACGACGACGGUAAGGUCGCUGGGGUGGCACUAUUAUCAUGCCACCGUGUUGGCAUCUUCUUCGGCGUCGUUGCAUCAAAUGGUGCUCCCAGUCGAUGGGUUCCUUUGUUCAGGCCGGCAUCGUCUCUCAUGCUUCCUACCCUCGAUGCCUCUGGUUCCUCGACGUUGCUGGCUCUACAUAGUUGGAAUGAUGUGCUUCAUUGUCAUAGACGCAAUGCUUCAGAUUUUUGUAUUAAGUUUCAUACUACCUAUGUAUAUGCUUCUAUCAAUUUAGUAUCAGAUAUUUGCUUCUGUAUCAUAUGUGGCAUGGUUUCCAAGUAUGUACAUGUUUGGUUUGUUGUUUACACAACCAUGGUAAAUUAUUAAUGCUUCGGAACUAUUUUGUUCAU
rnacentral:lncRNA from 1 species